rnacentral:rRNA from 1 species
CAUUAACGAAAGCACGUGGGCGAGGUUGUAGCUGGCCC